ACGAGUGCUUUGAAGUGGGCUUGAUGCUGGCGCUUUUUUAAGUGCACGUGCUCAGCCUACACUCAAUUCCACUUAACCCCUGUGCACUAUUCGGAGUGUGUUGUCUGUAUACCUUUUCUUACUUCUCUUUCACUAGGGAGGUCAAGGGGGGGGGAAAAGGAUGGCAUCUCCGGUUUUCAUUACAAACCCUUCAUUGUGUAUUGUAAGAAUGUAUUACCUUUUUUAAGGUGAAAUUGAAAUACAACUUUCAACAACGGAUCUCUUGGCUCUCGCAUCGAUGAAGAACGCAGCGAAAUGCGAUAAGUAAUGUGAAUUGCAGAAUUCAGUGAAUCAUCGAAUCUUUGAACGCACCUUGCGCUCCUUGGUAUUCCGAGGAGCAUGCCUGUUUGAGUGUCAUGUUAAUCUCAACUUCAUUGGCUUUUUUGUCAGCGAAGAUUGGAGUUUGGAGGUUGCUGCUGGCUUUGUUAAAGAGCCGGCUCCUCUUAAAUGUCUUAGCUUUGGAAUCCUUCUGCGCAAUCUUGCGGUGUGAUAGUUCUAUUCACUGCGGAUGUUUCAGAUUACAUAAUGGGUUCUGCUUCGAAUAUAUAAAGUCUUGUUUCUUGAAUGAGACAAUUUCAAUCUUGACUCUGACCUCA
rnacentral:rRNA from 1 species